GCAAUGGCAAGCAUUUUUGCGUCGUCAACCACCUUCAGGUUUUUGCCCAUUAAAAGUAUGUUAUUAAUUUGUUUUUUGGUCAGUAUUAUCUGGAACUGGUUCUAUCUUUAUAAGAUUGCCUUUGCUGAGCACAAAAAUAAUUUAAUAAAGAUGGAAAACAUCUAUGAGAAAUGCAGUGGGCUGAAGAAAAUUACAUGGAUUGAUAGCCUGAAAGGUAAACUUACAACAUUUACUUCACCUUUUUUUUUUUACUAAGUAAUUCAGUAAUCAUAAGAAGGCUUUAGGGCUAGAUCAUGCUUAAAUUAUGAGCUAAAAUCAUUAUUUAGCUCAUUCCAGAUCUGCUGUAAUACCAGGAAAUUGUGUCACCACAAACAGCUUCAUCAAAACACAACAACAGUUGUACAAAGCAAGCUGAAAAUUGAUGAAAAAAUGCAAAAAAAAGUUUAAAAAAAAUAUAUAGGAGCAGCUUCUAACCCACCUGACCUAUACUAUUCUCAAGCUGUCGUAGUGUGUCUUUUUGUACAUUUGGAGAUGUUUCUGUGCUACAGAGUGGUACAGAAGCACAUGGACUCUUCAAGAUGACCCUUGUGAGAAAUACUACAAAGUUCUCAUAGUUGACCCUUUCCUGCUGGUUCCUCCUAUCAAGGUGGGUUUCUGUUCUCAUCAGUGUCAAAGGUAAAACCUUAAAAUGGUCUCUGUAAAGAUCCCAUAUUAGAUCAGAUUGGUCUUUUCAACACUUGGGGCAGAGCUUAUGAUUUUUCAUCUGAGGCUGAUUGAUUAUUAGAUAUAAAAACUUAAAUUCUUUACUUAAAAAACUUUAAUUUAAGUUUAUACCUUGCAAAAUGUGUACAUUUUUAAGAUUAUUUCUGACAUUUUCUAACAAAUCCCUGCUUUGCUUUAAUUCAGUGUUGGUUGCUUGUUGGGGAUGGACAGAUAGGAGCAUGCUGGAAAGUUUUACAAUCACAAUGUAAAUCAUAUAUCAUAUUUUUUAUUUUUUAGGCUGUUGUUUUUACACUUGCAACCUGUAUCACUGAAUUUUUGAAGCCCUUUGGUCAGGGAUUUAGUGAGUUUCUUCGAGCCCUCCUGAAAGAUCUGCCAGUUACUCUGCAGAUCCCAGUUCUCAUCGCUACGACCCUCCUAACUUUGGUGUUUAUGUAUAGCCUUGUACAGGCAGUUUUCCAGCAUGGCAUCCUUGCAUUUUUUCGUCAGUCUCAAAGGGAGACACCUCAUCCAGUCAUUGAGCACCCACAGCCAAAUCCUAGGAUGAUUGAAGUUCACGUUUAUGAUGAAGUAAGUGCUAAAUCUGCACUGGAGUUUGUCCAAAGGAAUCAAGCCAAUGACACUAGAGCAGACAGGACCAUUAUUCAUUGGAGGCGAGAGCCACCCAUCGUGGAGACGCUGAGAUCUGCUCGCCAGAACGGACCCAAUGAGGUGGACUCUCACCAGCAGUCACAACAAGCAAAUGGCGUGGAAACAAGUGGAGACAAUGCUAACACAGUUCAGUAAAAAUCAUCAAAGACCAAAUCCAAUUUAGAGACGUCAAAAAGGCAGCCUUGAGUUCAAGAAGAUCAUGUGAGUUCUGUCAAAACAGCAUGCAAGCAAAUUCAAGUGUUUGUUCAGUAUAAAGUACUAUGUAACCCUCUUUUGUCGUGUACACAAAUUAAAUUAGGAUUUUGUAAUAUAUUUAAAAUAGAUACAUUUACCUGCAUUUUUUAAACGCAACAUAAAACUCUAAAGUGUGUUUAAGCUUUUUUAGAUUUAUAUAUUUUCUAUCAACAUAUUGCAACAAAAAAAUGUUUUUAAAAUCUUUCAUGAACUUCAUUAGACGAUGCUACCAACUUGACCACAAAACACUUUGGAACAGAGAGACGGAGAAGCGUUAUAUCAGUGUAUGCUGUUUACCAUUAUCCGUUAGCGCUUGCUGCAGAGCCAGUUUUUCAAAAGUUCAAAUAAUAAACACAAGAGGGAUUUUUUUAACAAGUUAACGAGUGAGGGGGUAUUUGGUUACCAGUUUUAAGAUAAUCAGGAAAAGUUUGGGUAAUAUUUUGUGGUUAAAUGUGCUGAAAUAGUAAUAUAUUGAUGCUAAUUGGUGCUUUGCACACCUGAAACUUUUAAGUAAUGUUUUAUUAAAAAUUGUAAAACAUUUUUCAACAAAUCAAAACUAUUGAUUUUUUAUUUAAAGUUGAAUUUAAAUGAUUUUUUUUUUAUAUUAAUCGUGACUCUGAUGUUUAAAUUACUUUCUAUCAGGUAUUAAU